CAGCCGCCGCGGUAAUACGAAGGGUGCAAGCGUUAAUCGGAAUUACUGGGCGUAAAGCGUGCGCAGGCGGUUGUGUAAGACAGGUGUGAAAUCCCCGGGCUUAACCUGGGAACUGCGCUUGUGACUGCACAGCUAGAGUAUGGCAGAGGGGGGUGGAAUUCCACGUGUAGCAGUGAAAUGCGUAGAGAUGUGGAAGAACACCGGUGGCGAAGGCGGCAACCUGGCUCAUUACUGACGCUGAGGCGCGAAAGCGUGGGGAGCAAACAGGAUUAGAUACCCCCGUAGUCCCUGUCUCUUAUAC
rnacentral:rRNA from 1 species